rnacentral:rRNA from 1 species
UGGGGAAUUUUGGACAAUGGGCGAAAGCCUGAUCCAGCAAUGCCGCGUGUGUGAAGAAGGCCUUCGGGUUGUAAAGCACUUUUGUCCGGAAAGAAAUGGCUCUGGUUAAUACCUGGGGUCGAUGACGGUACCGGAAGAAUAAGGACCGGCUAACUACGUGCCAGCAGCCGCGGUAAUACGUAGGGUCCAAGCGUUAAUCGGAAUUACUGGGCGUAAAGCGUGCGCAGGCGGUUGUGCAAGACCGAUGUGAAAUCCCCGAGCUUAACUUGGGAAUUGCAUUGGUGACUACACGGCUAGAGUGUGUCAGAGGGGGGUAGAAUUCCACGUGUAGCAGUGAAAUGCGUAGAGAUGUGGAGGAAUACCGAUGGCGAAGGCAGCCCCCUGGGAUAACACUGACGCUCAUGCACGAAAGCGUGGGGAGCAAACAGGAUUAGAUACCCUGGUAGUCCACGCCCUAAAACGAUGUCAACUAGUUGUUGGGGAUUCAUUUCCUUAGUAACGUUAGCUAACGCUGAAGUUGGACCGCCUGGGGAGUACGGUCGC